GAAUUUUUCACAAUGGGGGAAACCCUGAUGGUGCAACGCCGCGUGGGGAAUGAAGGCCUUCGGGUCGUAAACCCCUGUCACAAGGGACUAAACGUAUGGCUCAUACCCAUACUUGAAUUAACCUUGAGAGGAAGAGGUGGCUAACUCCGUGCCAGCAGCCGCGGUAAUACGGAGACCUCGAGCGUUACUCGGAUUUACUGGGCGUAAAGGGUUCGUAGGCGGACUCAUAUGUCGGGUGUGAAAUCCCACGGCUUAACCGUGGACCUGCGCCCGAAACUAUGAGUCUAGAGUACAGGAGAGGUGAGUGGAAUUCCAGGUGUAGCGGUGAAAUGCGUAGAUAUCUGGAGGAACACCAACGGCGAAGGCAGCUCACUGGACUGUAACUGACGCUGAGGAACGAAAGCAUGGGGAGCAAAAGGG
rnacentral:rRNA from 1 species